rnacentral:rRNA from 1 species
UACAGAGGUCUCAACCGUUGUUCGGAUUCAUUGGGCGUAAAGGGUGCGUAGGCGGCGCGGUAAGUCGGGUGUGAAAUCUCGGGGCUUAACUCCGAAACUGCAUUCGAUACUGCCGUGCUUGAGGACUGGAGAGGAGACUGGAAUUUACGGUGUAGCGGUGAAAUGCGUAGAUAUCGGGAGGAACACCAGUGGCGAAGGCGGCGACCUGGGCCAAUAUUGACGCUGAGGUGCGAAAGCGUGGGGAGCAAACAGG